UAAUAUGGACAUUGACAGACAUAUU
rnacentral:piRNA from 1 species